rnacentral:rRNA from 1 species
GAGUUUGAUCUUGGCUCAGAUUGAACGCUGGCGGCAUGCCUUACACAUGCAAGUCGAACGGCAGCACGGGAGCUUGCUCCUGGUGGGCGAGUGGCGAACGGGUGAGUAAUGCAUCGGAACGUAUCCUGGAGUGGGGGAUAACGUAGCGAAAGUUACGCUAAUACCGCAUAUUCUGUGAGCAGGAAAGCGGGGGACCUUCGGGCCUCGCGCUCUUGGAGCGGCCGAUGCCGGAUUAGCUAGUUGGUGAGGUAAAGGACUCACCAAGGCGACGAUCCGUAGCAGGUCUGAGAGGAUGAUCAGCCACACUGGAACUGAGACACGGUCCAGACUCCUACGGGAGGCAGCAGUGGGGAUUUUGGACAAUGGGGGCAACCCUGAUCCAGCCAUGCCGCGUGAGUGAAGAAGGCCUCGG